CUAGCAUAUAUUUAGUAAUUGGUAGACCUGCUGUUCUAAGCAUUGGUACAGCAAGCAAUACUAAAACAACAGCUUGUUGCUGUUAAGACAGGUGACUUUAACAUAUGGGCAGGUGAGGACAGCAGUAUAGCAGUAUAUAAGUAAUUAAUUCUAACGAUAUUCCUGAUAGAAAAGUCCAGGAAUACAUCAGUGAUAUAUCUGAAGUUUUUACAAUGCUUAUACUUUUAUUUAAAAGAUAGCUCUAUUUCACAUUUGUCUCUACAAUCUCAUCAAAGGGAGACUGGGUUUUUAUUCAGAGAUAUGAACUAGUUAUUACGUGCUUUGCAAGAUUUGAACAGACCAAGUUCUGAUUUCCUACAUUGGUAUGUUCAUGAUAAGCAAAAUUGUGAUUAGCUAUUGACAGCACAGAGACCAGACAUGCCUUUCUUUACCUUGGGUUGACAUUAUGCUCUGAUACAUUUUUAACAGCUUGAAUUCUUUAUUUCUGGAAAGGCUCAAAGCAAACAACUAGGAAAAUGCUAUCAAUGCCAGGCCUUUGUUCUCCCUCAGAAGAUUUGUCUCUUUCCAUUUCAGUAAAGAAGAUUCUAGUUUCCCUCACCAGCAUCCUUGUAGGUGCCUGAAGCAGGGCUGACCCAAGACAGGAGAGAGACUGUGAACUCUAGGAAUUUCUUCACAUUAAAAAAACAGGGCGUCAGGAUUUAAGUACUCCUGCUUCAGCAAACACAGGUAUCCAUGUGCUAUGGUUUAAUAUGUUUUCCAAAGUUCACAUGUUGUAAAUUUGAUCCCUAACACAGCAAUGUUUGGGGGUGGAACUUUUAAAAGGUGAUUAGGUUAUGAGGGUUCUGCCCACAUGAAAGGAUUAGUGUUGUUAGUAGGUUUGUUAUAAAAGGAUGAUUGUUAGUGGGUUUGUUAUAAAAGGACCUCUUCUGCUCUCUCUCUCCCUCCCUCUCCCCAGUCCCACAUUAUGCCUUCCACCAUGUUAUUGAGCAGCAAGAAGGUCCUCACAAGAUGCCGACCCUUUAAUUUUGGACUUCCUAGUCUCCAGAAAUUCUGGGAAAAUAAAUUGUAAAAGCCUCCUUGGGUUUAAGAAUCAAGCACACAGCUGGGCGCGGUGGCUCACGCCUAUAAUCCCAGCAACUCUGGGAGGCUGAGGCAGGCAGAUCACCUGAGGUCAGGAGUUUGAGACCAGCCUGACCAACAUGGAGAAACCCUGUCUCUACUAAAAAUACAAAAUUAUCCUGUAAUCCCAGCUCGGGAGGCUGAGGCAGGAGAAUUGCUCGAACCCAGGAGGCAGAGGUUGUGGUGAGCCAAGAUCUAGCCAUUGCACUCUAGCCUGGGCAACAAGAGGGAGACUCCAUCUCAAAAAAAAAAUAAAUAAAGAACCACAUCUUGCGUAAAAGGAGGAAGCAUCAAAUAAAUGGCUUUAUUUAAUAAAAAUGAACAAACAAGCAGGUUACUCUACUUGGGUUCAAGACUGUAAUUCUGCUACAAACUUGCUGUCAGUCUUUGGAUAAGCUAAUUAACCUU
rnacentral:lncRNA from 1 species